rnacentral:tRNA from 1 species
GCCGGGAUGGCGGAACUGGUAGACGCACGGGACUUAAAAUCCCGAGAGCAUUGCGCUCGUGCGGGUUCGAUUCCCGCUCCCGGUACCA